UCAUCGUUAGGCGUCUGGACGGUGAACCUGCGAUGGUGUCGAAUAACGCGCUCUGAUUGGACGACCUGAAGAUAUCGGACAGCGCAGCCUUUGGAUCUGGAAAUGACGCUUUCUUCUCUGAUUUUAUUAUUCCUCACCGACGUAAUAAAAGCCAUCGGGGUCUCUUCGGGCCAGAACUGUUUCUCUUCUGAUGAUCGGGGUCAGACAUGGAAAUGUGGGGGACACCGUCAUCUUCCUACACAUCACACUGGUGUAAUGGGGAUAGUGACCGCUCAGUGAACAUCUAUAGAAGCUUGAAAAGUAACAAAUCCUCAGAUCAGGCAGCAGGUGGCGCCAUGUGACGGGUCAGCACCAUGUGACGGGUCAGCACCAUGUGACGGGUCAGCACCAUGUGACGGGUCAGCACCAUGUGAUGGCUGUAAUUGUAACAUCCUAAUGACAUUUAAUCCUCUGUGUAAUGAAUGGGGGCUUCCAAUCCCUCCUGUAGAUAUUAA